AUGUCACACUUUCCACCUAGUUUAGCUGUGAACCUAAAGCUGCUCUUAGAAGUCUAUCUUUUAAGAGAAAGGAAAAACAUUACCCAGACCCAGGAGCACACAUCCUUCAAGGACGGUCUGCAGAGAUCAGAACACAAGAGUGUGCAUGCUCUACAAACAUGGCCAGCAGUUACCCAACACAGUGACCCAGAGACCAGGCCUCAGGCUUUCAUCCCAGCCCCAACCUACCCAGGGCAGCCACUCCUGAAGGGCCAGCAUCUAAGACAGGCAUGCGUCCUGGGCCUGCCCCACAGUCUGGGUGGGAGGGGCCCCAAACUGCCUUCUGUCCAACCCCAUGGAUUCUGGGCUGGAGAAGCCUGUGUUUCAGCUGAGCUAGGGUGGACCAGCCCCAGGCAGAGACCGCUGCCUCUCUCCCAUCUCCUCUGCGCUCGAGGAUGGAGGACCAUGGGGGGCUCCCACUCUGGCCCCUCCCCAACGGGGCUCUAUGAUGGGAUCCGGAAGCAGCAGGCUUCCUCCCAUGGUUGGAGUAGCUCUCUCCCCUCUGGCUUCUCCGGCUACAGCUGUGGGUUGAACGUGACUGGAGAAGCUGGAAACUGCCCCAGGGCUGGAAAAGAGGCUGUUAUCUGCCAGCAUGCAGCUUUGCCAACAUGAGCUCGUCUUCCCGCCAGGCUCCAUCUCCAGGUGUGAUGCUCAGCCCUCAGCUUCUCACCCACCUGCCAGAGAAAAACAUGAAAGCUGUGAUAACUGGGGGAGGGGCAGGAAGCAGAUGGGCAGAAGGCACCCCCAAGGUUGACUCUGCAGAGUUGGGGGCGCCCUCACCCCUGCUUUCUUACCACUCCACCACAGUGUUUUCAGGGCCCUGCUGAGCCUCAGGACAGGAGGGGGCUGCCCAGAGUCUCUGCCCAAAGGAAAGUGCGGCCUGAGACAAGAGGGUAUGAAGCCCACAUGGGACAAACCUCACAAACCACAGGGGUCAGUGAAUAGCCAGCGGUGACUUUUUCAUAGCAUCAGAUGUGCCCGCAUCUCACAGGGAGCAGCACAGCUUUGGGGGCACAGUAGGCCCGGGUCAGGCAAGUCCUCUCAGACCUCCGUGUGGCUGAUCCCAGCAGGCAGCGUGCUCUUCCAAAACAAGGGAAAGAGACCCACAGGCGUGUCAGUACACACUCCAGGACCGCAUCUAAGCAACUGGGCAGAGUCCCUGGAACCUGACGUGCUGCGUGCCUGCGGGGUAGGGGCGUGUAGGCGAUCUUUUCCACAAGUGGAAACUAUUUCAGCAGCCAUGCUCCAGCGCUAACACAGCCAGGUCCUCCAGGGCAGGAGCUCCUGACUUUCCAGUCACUUUCUUUGUUGCAGGAACAGACUAGCAAGGGCAGAUGCUGGCAUCUGUCUGCUGAUCAGCAUGGGUCCAAAGGGUGCGGAAUGAGGUUCUUCAGUCAGAGCCAUGGA
rnacentral:lncRNA from 1 species